rnacentral:sRNA from 1 species
CGCGCGGGUUAGAUUGGGAUUCUCAUCAAUAAUAUCACUGAAACGAGACAAGUUUUGUCCUACAAUGGCGGGCCGCCACUCUCCGGAGCGCAGCGGAUUACAAAGUGGACAAACCCUCAAAUCCUAUCAUGUCGGAGUUUCAUCACAUCAUCCGCGCGGUCUGUU